rnacentral:rRNA from 1 species
AUGCCGCCGCCGCCGGCGACGCUGCCGGACGAGCUUCUCGAGGAGAUCCUCCUGCGCCUCCCGCCGGAGGACCCCGGGUGCCUCUUCCGGGCCUCCCUCGUCUGCAAGCCCUGGCGCAGCCGCCUCACCGGCACCGCCUUCUCCCGCCUCUACCGCGAGUUCCACCGGACACCUCCCUUGCUGGGAUUCUUCGAGAACGAUGAGACGGUACUGUGCUAUUUUUCUCCCUUGUCCCCCACUUCCCCCUUCUUCCCGGUGCACCCCGGCAAGUGCAGUCUCUUCGUGCUCGACUCGCGCCAUGGACUCGUCCUCUCAAAUACUAUCGGCCCGAGCGGCGAACCCCUCUGCCUCAUCGUGUGGGACCUCGUCGGCCACCGCCAGUGGCGGUUGUCCUUGCCGGAUUUCGUGGACUGGCCAACCUUUCCAGACUGCGCCGCGGCGGUGCUCUGCGCCGCCGAUGGCUGCGACCACCUCAAUUGCCCUGGCGACCCCUUCCGUGUGGUCUAUGUGGGCACCGAUGACGAUGGCGUCGCGCAAGCUUGCGUCUACUCUUCAGAGUCCUGUGCCUGGAGCCCAGUGACGUCUUGUGAGCACCCUGAAUUGCCCCUGCACGUCAGGCUCUCUCGGCCCAAUGCCCUUGUGGGAGAUGCAGUCUAUUUCUUGUGCACUCAGGAAACGGUAGUCCUGCGAUAUGACUUGUUCAGCCAGGAGCUAUCGAUGAUUCACUGGCCAGCCAUGCACAAGUGGAAGUGCAGCUAUAUCCUUAUGCGAAUGGAGGACGAUAUGCUGGGCUGUGCCAAUCUGCAGGAGUCCAGGCUCGAACUAUGGUCGAUGGAGGCUGACACAGACGGAGCUGUGAAAUGGGCAACACGCAGAGUCGUCGACCUCCAGAACUUGCUACCCUCGACCCCCAGAUAUGUGAUUAGCUGCACCGAUGGAUUUCGUGUCUUUUUUGUGCAGACAGAUCUUGGCACUUUCACAGUUGAGCUUAAUUCAGGCCGAGUUAAGAAGGUAUCCAGUAGCAGUGAAGUCAUUCCCUACACGAGGUUCUACACUCCAGACCUAGCUGGGGGCAUAACACCUCCAUCAACCAUGGCGUCCUCCUCAGAGAAUGUUGAGACGACCCAAGACAAGCACCAUGUGGGUGAUGAGAAGGAGAAAUGUGUAGAGAAGGGCGAGGACGAUUUUGACUUGGAGGAGAACGGAUGGGAGGAGGAGGCUGAGGAAGAGGAGUGGGGAUGGGAUGGGGAGAAAGCUGCAAAUGAGCUGUUUGCCAAGGGGUCCAAGGCGAUCGAGGAGGAACAAUUCGUUCACGCCAUUCACUGUUUCGACGAUGUCCUUGAGAGUAGGGUGCUAUUUUAUGGGAGACUUUCUCCAAUGUGUAUUAGCACGUAUUACAAAUAUGGACGUGCUUUGCUGUACAAAGCUCGAGAAGACUUAGUGAAGGGUACAACCAGCAGAGAUGAUACUGGAAGCUCAAAGGCAUCUUGUAGCAAUGUGAAGAAAGGUGAUACUAGAAAAGAUUUGGAUCUGGCCUGGAAAAUGUUACAUAUUGCGAGGGCAAUAAGUGAAAAUUGUCCUUGGAUGCCUAUGGCUAAAGUCGAUACAUAUUGUGCUCUUGCUGAAGUUUCCAUGGAAAGAGAAGACAUAGACUACUCACUCCGUGCUCGGUUCAAAGCUUUAGCCAUCUUGGAGCAUUUGGUUGAGCCUGACCAUUGUCGGAUUGUCGUACUAAACUUCCACAUAUUCCUGGCUUUCACGUCGGCAUCAAAGAUUGGAGACACGCUCCCAUAUGCUGUAAAGGUUAUGUCAUUGUACAAGUCACGUGUGCGGAAGCUGAGAAAGGCUCUCGAAGAUUUGUUGGCUGUUAAAGGUGAGAAUGCACCUGCUGCUGAAGUUGGCUCAGAAGAGUUGUCGCUGGACAAUGAGAUAGAUGUGCUUAAUAAUAUAUUCACUGCACUAGAGAACAAGCUUAAAGACCUGGCGCAAGCAUUACUAACCCCAACCUCAGAGGCAAGUGGUACGCAUAACGUUGUCUAUGCUACACCAAAAGAUGCAUCUUCGACCUUACAAAUUGCUGGACCAAGUAAUUCUAUGUCUACAGCAGCAACAAUCGAGACGCAGAGUAGUACUGGAAUCGACCUUGAGACCGCAGGCCAAGGCAUGAAACAAGCUAGUGCCAAGCUGAUCUCUGCUGAACCUUCUUGUCCCGACAAGCUUUUGGAGGAUUCUUCACCUGUAAAAGGUGAUAGCAGCAACAAAUCCAAUCUUCAUCCUGCAGCUAGGAGUAAAGUACAGCUUUGUUAG